AUACGGAGGUGACAAGCGUUAUUCGGAAUCACUGGGCGUAAAGGACGCGUAGGCGGGUUAUUAAGUCGGGUGUGAAAUCCAAUGGCUCAACCAUUGAACUGCAUUCGAAACUGAUAACCUAGAGUAUGGAAGGGGCAGGUGGAAUUAGUGGUGUAGGGGUAAAAUCCGUAGAUAUCACUAGGAAUACCGAAAGCGAAGGCGACCUGCUGGGACAUUACUGACGCUGAGGCGUGAAAGCGUGGGGAGCAAACAGGAUUAGAAACCCUAGUAGUCC
rnacentral:rRNA from 1 species